AGUGGGUGGACACGCUAUAUAUAGGGGAUAGGUGUUAUCACACAGAGUGGGUGGACACGCUAUAUAUAGGGGAUAGGUGUUAUCACACAGAGUGGGUGGACACGCUAUAUAUAGGGGAUAGGUGUUAUCACACAGAGUGGGUGGACACGCUAUAUAUAGGGGAUAGGUGUUAUCACACAGAGUGGGUGGACACGCUAUAUAUAGGGGAUAGGUGUUAUCACACAGAGUGGGUGGACACGCUAUAUAUAGGGGAUAGGUGUUAUCACACAGAGUGGGUGGACACGCUAUAUAUAGGGGAUAGGUGUUAUCACACAGAGUGGGUGGACACGCUAUAUAUAGGGGAUAGGUGUUAUCACACAGAGUGGGUGGACACGCUAUAUAUAGGGGAUAGGUGUUAUCACACAGAGUGGGUGGACACGCUAUAUAUAGGGGAUAGGUGUUAUCACACAGAGUGGGUGGACACGCUAUAUAUAGGGGAUAGGUGUUAUCACACAGAGUGGGUGGACACGCUAUAUAUAGGGGAUAGGUGUUAUCACACAGAGUGGGUGGACACGCUAUAUAUAGGGGAUAGGUGUUAUCACACAGAGUGGAUGGACACGCUAUAUAUAGGGGAUAGGUGUUAUCACACAGAGUGGGUGGACACGCUAUAUAUAGGGGAUAGGUGUUAUCACACAGAGUGGGUGGACACGCUAUAUAUAGGGGAUAGGAUGACAUUUCAGCCACGGUCAUUAUCAACAUUAUCAGCCAUUACUAUAAUUAUGUGUCAUCAUGCCUCUUGUCUUUGAACAUGAAUGGAUUCUCUCUCGAUAUGUAAAAACAGACAGACAGACAGACAGACAGACAGACAGACAGACAGACAGACAGAAGGACAAAGACUUAAAGGAGUCCUCAGUGAUUACUAUGAUGACGAUAAUUUAGGUUCAUUCAUCGUUCUAGCUGAUUUCUGAAUAACACCUUCCUCUUUCUGUUGGGUUGUUUAGUGACACACACACACACACACAAACACACACACACACACGACUGGCCCAUACUGUGUUUGUAACAGUAUACUGUUGGUCCAUCUCGGUCCUAGCUGCAAUACCGUUAUGAGACAGUGGAGGCGCUGAAGAGCCUGUGGCAGCAGGUGACCGCAGAAACAGGAGAAGACAGAGAAACAGCCUGGGACCUCUCUGUGUCUACACUACGACAGGCGGUGCUAGCUCUGCCCCAGGGGGACGGGGAGCAGGAUGGACCCCAGGAGAGGCUCACCAGAGAGGGGGCUCUGAGCCUCUAUAACACCCUCCUCCUGGAGCUCACCCAGCCACUCACACAACACACGCCACUACCACACAACGCUA